ensembl:ncRNA mir-4914 mir-4914 stem loop
GUGAGUGAGAGCGAGUUCCAAUGUGGUCCUCGAAACCAGUUGUGCUUCGAUCAGAUUCCAAAAUUGACACAUUCCGACCUUGAAUCACCCACAG